UACGUAGGGCGCAAGCGUUGUCCGGAAUUAUUGGGCGUAAAGAGCUCGUAGGCGGUUUGUCGCGUCUGGUGUGAAAUCCCGAGGCUCAACCUCGGGCUUGCAUCGGGUACGGGCAGACUAGAGUGCGGUAGGGGAGACUGGAAUUCCUGGUGUAGCGGUGGAAUGCGCAGAUAUCAGGAGGAACACCGAUGGCGAAGGCAGGUCUCUGGGCCGCAACUGACGCUGAGGAGCGAAAGCAUGGGGAGCGAACAGGAUUAGAAACCCCCGUAGUCC
rnacentral:rRNA from 1 species